rnacentral:lncRNA from 1 species
GGAUGGAACCUUGUGCUCCAGCACUGCAGAGAUGCUGCUGAUCCCAUUGCGCCACAGCAGGAAGUCCUAGAACUCAACCUUUAACUGACCUGUGAGGUCUCGAGCCGUUAAGACUCAGAAAAGAAAAUCAUGGACUUGGAGAAGAGACUUGUGGCUGCCUGAUGGGAGGGGAAGGGAGUGGGAGGGAUCGGGAGCUUGGGCUUAUCAGACACAACCUAGAAUAGAUUUACAAGGAGAUCCUGCUGAAUAGCAUUGAGAACUAUGUCUAGAUACUCAUGUUGCAACAGAAGAAAGAGUGGGGGAAAAACUGUAAUUGCAAUGUAUACAUGUAAGGAUAACCUGACCCCCUUGCUGUACAGUGGGAAAAUAAAAAAAAAAAAAGAAGAAAAUUCACCUGCCAAUUUAUCUUAUUAAUUUGUAAGAAUGGCUUGCAUAUUAAAGAAAUUAGCCCUUUUAUCAUAUAUACUAAACAUGCCUUUAAACUUUUUAAAUUUUGUUAGAACAGUUUAUCACUUUUACAUUGUUUAUAAUAUCAUUUUUUGUUGUCGGACGCCAGCUCCAGCAGCCAGGGAGUGUACACUUCCCCAAAGGAGAUGGACGGCGUCGGCAAAUGUACAAAUACAGAGACAGCCUCUUUGUCCUUUCUUUCAGGGCGCUGGACUGCGCAAAUUUUAUUGGCAUAAGUGGUUGAUUAUAUAGACAGCUUUUUGCUACAGAUGACAUCACAGUGUUAAAAGUACAUUGGUUAACUACUACAUGGUAUAGCAGCUAUACAUCAUGUUUUAAGCUCUUUGUUUUAACUAAACUUAGUGAGUACAAUUUAAGAGCAAUUAGGUACAAUACAUCAUGUGGAAAGGAGGAGACAGUACAAACCAUCCCAUGGCCAGCCAGUCUUUACAAAUUGAAGAGUUCACGACACAAGAAUUUGGCACUCACAAACCUUGUUUGUAGACUGUGCUUAUCUUCAAAGCGUUAUGGCAGGGAGAGAGUGUAAGAAAAUAUAAACCAGCUUAACUAAACUAGCUAUCACUUCAAAGCUUUUAAAAUCAAAGACAAAACUCACAGCUAGGUUUUUUGGAUAAUACAUGUCUAACUUUUAUGAACCUCACUAAGAUCCUACCUCUAAAGUUUACUGUAUAACUAACUAGUUAGUAGAUAAACACUAGGUUUUCACUAAGUUGGAUUUAAACAGGGGCGAGUCCUUCAGGAUGAAAUUCGUGUUAUAUGAUUGUUGUAACUUUGUUAAAUCGCACNACUGAAUAACGAAUAAAACAACAGGAAAGACUAGGUCACCCGAGAAACAAUCCAUGUUCUCCAGCGCAAACAUGGAAAUUGUUUUCCCAGGGAAGCCCCCAUUCUUCCCCAUCAGCAUCAAAGUGAGAGCUGUGUACCUGAGGCCUGCCCUCGGCUUGUACCGUGCAGGCAGGCUUUCAUCCUGACCAGAGGCCCACCUUCGGCUUGUACCGUUCAGGUGAGCUCCCUUCCUUGGUUGGGAACCUACCUUCAGGUUUUUGUGCUGUCAGGCAAGGUCCUUUUUUCGAGUCUCUGCAUUUUCUCGGCUCCCCGCAAUAUUUCUUAGAGGAAUUCUGAAUUUUCUGAGGUAUCUUACUAAUAUUUUUCUAUGUUCUGGCAUAUAUUCCUUUCACAACCAGAAAAAAAACUUAUUUAAAGACAAAUCUCAUUACUACCUCUUAAUGUAAUUCUACAACAGAGACAAUACAUUUUAUAUAAUUUCAGAGGGUUUGCAAAAAUGAGGCAGGUUUUGAGGGUUUAUUUUGUAGUUACACCACUGGAACAUCUUUUACAAACUGAUAGCAUUGCUUAUUCCUUUAAAAUAUAUAUUUAGGGACAUUCUCCAGUCUAAAGUCUGCAAUGAACCAAGUACUCCUUAAAAGAAUAAUAGAUAGUAUUUUUUGUUUACAGCAUUAAAACUUGGCUAGAGACAGCAAUUGUGUCUGUAUAGCACAUUUUAAAAACAUAUUGGCAGUGAGUGUCUUCAAUUAGUUAUUUUUUAAAAAACACAAGAAUAGUACGAGAGGCUUUGUUAUUUUUUAAAACGCUACUCAGUAAACUAACGACUUCAUAGAAUAGGUAAUUAUUUCCUUUGCAGUCAGAAGUAGAUUUAAUGUUAGAGUAGAAAAUCAAAAUAAAUGUGAUUGGCUUUUCUCAAAAUAGGAAAUUAGCACUUGACUCCCACCUGCACACUGGCAUUUAUCUUUGUCUCCAGAGCUUGUAACUAAAUCUGACGCAGCAGCACGGCACAGAGAUGCCACUCACUGUUUAGCUCACCAAGCAACAGCUGCUUUGUACUGACAUCCGCCGCACUUGUCUUUAGACCCAACAGCUGUUCACAUUAAUUUGGGCUGACUACCUGUUGGAAUAACCUGUUCAACCUCAGUUACCUCGGUUAGUUCUUCAUUAGAUGUGAGCAACCACAAGGUGACUGAGAUCCCAGGGAGCCAGGGUUAUGGACCGACAAGAAUGGACUCUCACCGCUAAGUCUACAGCUUUGCUGGAGACUCCAAAAGAACUACUACCUACGAAAAGCCCCCAAAGAACCACAAUCUUUUAUUCCAUAUGCAAAACAUGUCUCACUUCAAAGGAUUAUUAGCAGCUAAGCUGCUUUCAUAUAAAUCUCUCACCAAUUAAUCUGAUAUUAAGGAGAGCUUUAUUUCAGCCUUCAUAGUGCUAAAUAUUUGUUUUUUUCUUAAAUUAUAAAUUGAUGGCAAAAAUUUUAAAAAUGGAAGUGCCUCCUCCGCAUCAAUACCGUCCUAAUUUCGCUCUCCAGAAGUCAACACUGUGAACAAUUUGGUGUAUAUUUUUUCCAGACCUCUUAAUCCUGCAUUAACAUGCAUAUCAUAUAUGUGCAUACUUAUAUUAUAUAUGUGUAUAUAUUUAUGUAUAUAUACACAUAUCAAUCUAUUCUUCUUUUAAACAAAAAUUAUAUGAUAAUGAAAGUUAUAUAAAUUCAUUUUGUAUUCAAUAAUACAUCACAAUAUUCUUUCCAUUAACGUAACUACAGUUCUGCUCCAUUCUUUCUUUUGGUGUCAUGGUGUACCAUAAUUUGUAGGUAUCAUAAUUUAUACAAACUUUCUUCCUUUAGGGGACAUUCUGAUUGCUUUUGGUUUUCAUGAUUAAAAAAUUAUCUAAUGAAGAUAAACUCUUGUUCACAUAUUUCUGUGGAAGACCAUAUUAGAAGUGGAAUUCUUGGGUUAAAGGAUAUGUGAUUUUAAAUGUUUACAGUAAUUACCAAAAUGCUUUUCCGAAUGUUUUUGACUCUUUACACUCACACCAGUAAGAAAGAACAUUUUAAGAACCAAGUUAC